rnacentral:lncRNA from 1 species
AACCACCCAAACAACCCUUAAUACAAUAGAAUCACAGCAGAAAAACCUUAACCAAAUCAAGCAAAUUAAAAACAAUUACUUAGUUGAUAUUUGUAUGCCUUGUCGCGUUGAUGUUUCAGAAAUGUCUAGGUGGAGGGGAAUGGUGGUGGGGGGGAAGGGGGUGAAUGUUUAUAAGGUCGAAAUUUGACUACAGGAGGACGGUAAGGGGGUAAAUGUCCUGGGAACUGGUUGGAUGGAGGUUUGAAUAUUGGAGUGAUAUGAAAGGCAGCAUCAGCAAAAUGUUGAGGACCAAACAUAAGAGCAGCAAGGAAUACCACUAGCAAGGAUAAGAAAAAGGAUUUAGCCAUUUUAAGAAGUGAUAUUAUUAUUAGUGUUGGUGCAUAAUACAUAUGGAGUUAACUGGUUUUAUACUAAUUAGAGACUCAAAGUGAGUUUAUGGUCAAUCAAAGUCAUUUACUAAAUGUCAAAAUUGUGUAUGAAUUGAAUUAUUCAACAAUGUUACAAGGUCCAUGUAUUUGCUACUACUUGAUGAUCCUUUCAUUUUCCACACAACAAGACCAUUUAGUAUUAUUGGCUUUAUCUCUCCGCUUGUUUGCACACCAUAUGGUUGCGCUCCUUAAUUCUGAAAUAUAGAAUGAUUUUAAACUCAUUUUAGAUUCUCCAAAAAUUAAAAUCUCAUUCCUACGACAACAGAAAAUGGAAGAAACACAAGAUUGUUGGUGUAUUGGUAGCUUACAGUCUGUUGGAAAAAUUCAAUAAGCUAGUUUAUAGUUUCUUUUAAAAAGUAUAUGAGUUUAUAGUUUAUUUUAUUAAUUCCUUUUUCACAAUUGCUUACCUGUAAGAUUAAAAAGUAUAUGUUUCACAAUUGCUUUUUCAUCACAGACUUAUAGUUAUUUUAUUAAUUUAUAGCUUAUUUUUUAGAAGUUAUUUCAAAUAGUGUAUGAGCUUAUAAUUUAUUAUUUUUAUUUCACGCUUACCUUUCAUCAAAUGAUGGAACCGCUUUCCGGACCCUGCGUAUACGUGAGCUUCAGUGCACCGGGUUGUCCUUUAUUUCAUGCUUACCUUUAUUAUUUUGUCUCAAAUUUAUUUUUAUCCUUUAUAAUUUGUAAUAAAGAAAAUGCUAAAAUGUUCUAAAAAAUUGAUAAUUAAGUCAUAAAAUAUUUACAUUCUAAAAAUAUUCAUUCCAACUUUGUUUAAAGAUGCAUCUUCAUCAUCAUAUUCUUGUAAAAAAAUCAAACAGUAAAUUUCAAACGGAAAUUCUUAAAAUUCUUCAAAAAUGCUUUUAUUUGUACAAUUCUAAAGAAUUUAACCACUCCUUAAAAAAAAAAUUAACCAUGUGAUGAUCAGUACAUAUCCUUUAAUUUUACACACCAUAAAAUCAUUUAGUAUUAUUGGUACUAUAACAAGGUAAUGAGUGGAAGUUAUUUGCUACUAAUAUUCUUGAAUUAAGAUUUAGAAAAACCGUACUCCAAGAGCAUGAUAAAUUUUGCAAAUCUAUUCAAAAAAGAGUAUUGACGAGUUUUACAUUUACACGCUCCUUGAACAUUCAUCAAUAUAUCAUCAACAAAACCAAUAUGUAAAUACUACUCCGUCCCUAAAUAUAUAGGAGUCUUUUGUAAAAAUUACGGAGAUUAAGAAAGUUAGUUUUAGUAUUAAAUUUGAAUAUAAUUACUAUUGUUUUUACGAUUUUAUCCUUAAGAGAGAGUUAAUUUAUGUUUUCAACAUAAUAUUUAUUUUUGAUUGAAGAAAAAGAUGCAAAAUAAAUAAAGGUAUGUUACUAAAUAAAUAAUUAAUGUACUAGGGACGGAGGUAGUAUUAGAUAAGGAACAUGAAUAUUUGGGAGGAAAAAUUCUUUGCAUAAGAGGAUCGUCUUAAACAACAAACUGAAAUUAAAAAUACUUGCAAUUGCGGAAGUCUUAAACAACAAACUGAAAUCAUAUCACGAAUAUUAUUAAGUUAUGGACCAAUUUGUAUGCAACAGUUAACCACCAACUACUGCAAGAAAAUAUCAUAUUAGCUACCAAAAUCUAGCUACGGUCUAUUGCUCUAGUUAAUUUGUCUUUAAUUAGCUUUGCUCUUACUACAAGUGAAGUUUGCUAGCUGAUGCUUACACUUGUUCGUUUUUUUUUUUUUUUUGAUUGUACCCAAAUAAAACUAUUUAGCAUCACUGCAAAUGCAUUUUUUUUCAAUUCUUUUGUUUAUGCAAUUUAGAUUCACUCUUGUGGAAUCUAUAAUGUGGACUCUAUAAUAUAUAUUGUUGAUGUUAAUAUUUUUAAAAUUUUAUUUUCAAAUGAGCGUUCAAAUAUACUGAUGCUAAAAUUUUGUAAAUUUUAAUUCUACAAAAAGCAUGCAUGAAUACUUAUGCAAAAAAAAUUACUCAUUUUUUUCUUUAUUUAUUUUGACAAAAUUUCAUUUUCCCCCAUUUAUCUUCUUUCCCACAAUUUUUUUAACACUUCCCGAAAUCUUUUUCCCACUAAUAUUUUAUUUUCCUUUUUCUUUUUACAACAAUUCAUUUCCUCAUCGAACAAAAAGGGAAAACUCAAGAUGUGAAAAAUCAAUAUGAGAAAGCCAUUUUCUCAAUGUGAGUUUAUGGUCAAUAUAAGUCAUUUACUAAAUUCAACAAUGCUACACUCAUAGGUACCAUGUAGUAUUUGCUAGUUAUUGAUGAUCAGUAGCUAUCCUUUCAUUUUCCACACAACAAGACCAUUUAGUAUUAUUGGCUUUAUCUCUCCACUUGUUUGUGCACCAUGGUUGCACUCAUUAAUUCUGAAUUAUUAUAGAAUGAUUUUAAACUCAUUUUAGGUCCUCCAAAAAUUAAAAUACUCAUUCCUACGACAACACAAAAUGCAAGAAACACAAGAUUGUUGGUGUAUUAUAAGCCUGUAAGAUUAUACCGUAUAUGUUUCACAAUUGCUUUUUCAUCACAAGUUUAUAGUUUAUUUUAUUUGAAGUUAUUACAAAUAGUGUAUGAGCUUAUAAUUUUUUUUUUUUAUUUCAUGCUUACCUUUAUUAUUUUGUUUCAAAUUUAUUUUUAUCCUUUAUAAUUUGAAAUAAAGAAAAUACUAAAAUGUUCUAAAAAAUUGAUGAUUAAGUCAUAAAAUAUUUACAUUCUAAAAAUAUUAAUUCCAACUUUGUUUAAAGAUGCAUCUUCAUCAUCAUAUUCUUGUAAAAAAAAUCAAACAGUAAAUUUUAAAUUGAAAUUCUUAAAAUUCUUCAAAAAUGCCUUUAAUUUUCCACACCACAAAACCAUUUAGUAUUAUUGGUGCUAUGAAAAGGUAAUGAGUGGAAGUUAUUUGCUACUAAUAUUCUUGAAUAGAUUUAGCAAAACCGUACUCCAAGAGCAUGAUAAAUUUUGCAGACGGUGAAAAUUUAUUGUGACAAUAAACUAUUUAAAAAAGAGUAUUGACGAGUUUAACAUUUACACUGUAUAAACCCAAAUAUGCAAAAACCCAUAUACUUCUUGAACAUAUCAAGAAAACCAAGAUGUAAAUAUUAGAUAAGGAACAUAAAUACGUCGGAUGAAAAUUUCUUUGCAUAAGUGGAUCGUAAUAAAAAUUAACAAUAAGUUCUUAAAUACAUGCUUCUGAAAGUCUGAAAUACAAUAAAUACAAUAUGCUCUUAAAUUAACAAUAUCAUAGAAAGUCUGAAACUAAAAAUUGCGGAAGUCUUAAACAACAAACUGAAAUCAUAUCAGAAAUAUUAAGUUAUGGAACCAAUUUGUAUGUAAUAGUGAACCACCAACCAUUACAAGAAAAUAUCAUAUUAGCUACCAAAAUCUAGCUACGGUCUAUUGCUCUAGUUAAUUUGUCUUUAAUUAACUUUGCUCUUACUGCAAGUGCAAUUUGACUGGCUGAUGCUUACACUUGUUCGUUAUUGUAUAAAAAAAUUAAAACAAAUUGUAAUGUCUUCUGAUGCCUUUUGGAUCUUCAUUGAUGGUAUUUCCUAGUUCUUCACAAGUCUUUAAGAUGUUCUGCUUUGCGUAUUUGCAUAAUUUCUUCUUGAAUUAUAUAAAAACUAGAAUUACAUGAGUCAAACAGAAAACAUUACAAAUAUCCCAAAAACCAUAGGAAAUUGUUCUAAUACUCCAUUCUGGAUUAAAACUAAUUGAAAAUGACUGGAAAAACAUGCCAAGAAUAACGUAAGAUGAUAUGUUAUCACAACCUCAAACUUAAACUGUUGUUUGUCGGCAAGUAACGAACGAAAAUAAAUUUUAAUUUUGCAUAUUUUUCAAGAAAAACAUAUCUUUUCAAAGAGGUUGCUCAGAUCGUCUUCUCGUCUCAUUUACAGACUUGACUAACUUACACCUUCCAUGAAAGCGCGACAGAAUUAGAGAAUAUAGCCCAUACUCUCAACCACACUCUUAUCCAUGAUACAUGCAUGUAUCACACAAACUCGGUAGGGUUGGUCACGAUAUUUGUCCACUCUAGUCGUCACAUGAAUGUAUCUUGAUGUAAAUUUGAGAGAACUCUAAACAGACAGUCAAGAUCAUACUAUAUACAAAGUAUUAGUUCUUUCAAGGUUAUAACGUAUCUUAGGUUAAGGUGAGAUAUAUUAGAAAAGUAGGCUAACAAAACAACUUGAAGUUAGAUUAUCAACCUGAGGUUUCCUACUAAACAUUGAAGUACUACUAACAUUCCUUCCUUAAACCAAACAAGAUGGGUAUUAAAUAGAACUAUUUAUCUUUUCCUACAUUUGUUUUAAAAGACCAAAAUAUUUGAUGUUUUUAGCUCUUGAUUUUUUCUUUUUUCUAUUUUUUUAUGUAGACCCAUGGUUAUCAACAUUUUUUCAUUUUUUUUCUUUGUGAUAUAAAUAAGUUCUCUGGUAGCCCUUCCUCAAAAAGAAAUCCAAGUUUAGUUUCAAAUCAUACCAAAUUAUUAAAAAUAUUAUAUCUAACUCCAAGAGAAAUCAAAUAGAUGACUUUAAGGAUCAAAACACCCACAACGAGCCGGUAAUAACACAACGCCUAAAACUGAAAAAAAACAAUGCGUCGAAACUCGUUAAGACAACCGUUAGUCUAAUUGGCUAUAUAAGCCUUAAGGUACUAUUAGACAUAACAAUUCUUUCUUAAUAAAUAUUAUUUUCAUUUCACUUUUUCUAUAUUUUGUUUUCAUUUAUGAGUUCCAUCAAGAAUUGUGAUAAUGUGUCACUUGAAAAAAAGAUAGACUAAUGUCACUUAUGAGUUCUAUCAUGAAUUGUAAUAAUGUGUCACUUUUAUAUACAUAUGUUUCAGUAUGGACGGACUGAAGUCAAACACACGUUAGUACUUAGCCAAAAAGCUCGACAAAGUUUCUGGUAACAUAUUUAAUUAAAAUUCAAUAUAAAUAAAAGUGUGAAAAAGCUACUCAACCGUACAAGUUGCCUUUGCAUCCCAGUGCAACUGACACAAAUGUGGUAGCCUCGGUUAGGCUACUAAUACAAUGUGUUAGUUUACAUCAAAAUAUAUAUUCUUUUUAUCAGCAAAUAAAAUUAACAACAGUCCGAGCGCAAUAACCCGAAAGACUUACAGGUACGAGUGAGAAGGAAAAGCAUGCAGAAAACGACUUCUAUUAGUUCGACAGUUUCGUCAAAGGGUGCAGUGAAUGAAUUUGUAUGAGAUGAUGGGUUAGGGUUCUAUUGAGAAGAAUUUCUGGGUGGAGAUGAGAGGGUUCAGUGAGAAGUUGAGAUGAUGGCAUAUGGUUUGAAGGGUUCGGAGUAGAGAAGUUAAAAUUUGAAGGAUCUGUGGGUAGAUGUUUGAGAGGUUUAGGUUCGAUGAAGUGAUUUUGGUAGAAGUUGUGUUUUGGGUGCAGAAAAGAGGAGAGGGAAUGAACAAUUACUUCAGCGCCAGACGCAAAAUUUUGCGGUUUAUUUUUUUUUUUUUUAUUUAACUUUUUUUUUUUUUAAUUUGGUAUGCCGUAUGUGCAAAGAUAGCCCUUCCCCAUUAAACGCUAACAAAUCAUUUACACCAAUAUUAGCGUUCACUAGAAAACGCUAUCACACUCUUAUCAUCACACACCUUUUUUUUUUAUAAUUUUUUUUAAUACCAUAUAAUAGCACUUUCUAUAAAAGGGCUAAUAUAGGUGUCACGUUAUAAUAGCAUGCGUAACGGAAGUGCUAUUAUUAAUAUUAGAGUCAAUCUUUUCAUAGCAUUUUCUCUAAAAGUGCUAUUAAAUUAGCGUUUCCGUUAUAAUAGUCCUUAUGAACAUCAAAUUAAGUUUGGUAUUUUUCAUUAUUCAUGUCGGCGAUUUUUACUAGUUUUGAUUUAAGUAAACGUUUUGAUUGACUUUAAUGACUAAAGUAACUAAGAGAAUAAAGAGUGAAGGAUUUAAUUGGCGUUUUAUUCAAGUCGUGGACCAAAAUUAAAUCUUGUUACACUUUUAAGGAGAAAAAUGGUUGUUUUUCCAAUAAUGUUUUCCAAUAUUAAAUUACAGUUGUUUUAUGCCUUAGGGAUGUUACACUUAAUUGAUAACUUAAAUAAGGUUUUUGGAGGUAAAUAAGAAAGAUGCAAAACCUCCAGCCAAGCCAAAACAACCCCGUUUCGAUUUGUGAACUUGACCAUAAUAUAUUAUACACAAGAUAUAUAAAAACAAAGCAUUGGUAACUAGUAGAUUUUUUUUUUUUAACAGCAAAGUUUAUUUAUAUGCUAACCCAACACAAGAAGUGAAGAGGCUAGAGGAAAGACGCAAGAUAAGAGAUACAUAAAGACAGACAACUAAACCAAGGCCAAAAAGGCACAACACAAACCACCUAAACAACCCUUAAUACAAUAGAAUCACAGCAGAAAAACCUUAACCAAAUCAAGCAAAAACAAUUGCUUAGUUGAUAUUGGUAUGCCUUGUCGCAUUGAUGUUUCAGAAAUGUCUAGGUGGAGGGGAAUGUUGUCUUAUAUGUGGUAAUACAGGUGGUAAUCCAUGUGGUAAACCCCUUACGAAUGGAGUCAAAUUGGUAAAUUUUUGUUCUGGGAUAGUAAUUGGAGGGAGAUUGCAAAAUGUUGAGGAGAAAACAUAAGAGCAGCAAGGAAUAACACUAAUAAGGAUAAGAAAAAGGAUUUAGCCAUUUUAAGAAGUGAUAUUAUUAUUGUGUUGGUGCAUAAUACAUAUGGAAUUAACUGGUUUUAUACUAAUUAGAGACUCAAUGUGAGUUUAUGGUCAAUCUAAGUUAUUUACUAAAUGUCAAAAUUAUGUAUGAAUUGAAUUAUUCAACAAUGUUACAACUUCCAUGUAUUUGCUACUAGUUGAUGAUCAUUAACUAUCCUUAAUUUCAUUUUCCAUACAGCAAGACCAUUUAGUAUUAUUGGCUCUAUCUUUCCACUAAUAGGUAUGUAUUUGAUAAAUUUUAUACACAUUUUUUUUAAAUAAUUAUUUUUAUUAAAUCGCCCUUAGAAAAGUAAAAAAAAAAACAGCCUUUAAUUAGCCGCUAUAGUUUUUUUUUACAAAACUAGCCAGUAUAGUUUUAUCUCUAUAGUCUAAAUACAUUAUUGUUGUCAUUUACUAAAAUUAUUGAUCUAUAACAAUAACCAUAUACGAAGAAUACCUCAAAAAAAAACAAAAAACGUACGAAGGAGAAUCAACCAUCUGGAUAAUACAUAUCCUUAUUUUAUUUAUUUGAAUUUGAAUGGCAACCACCAAAGCCACAUAUAGAAAGAAUAUUUUCCUACCAAUCGUACAUGAUGCCCAUAACAAAAGAUAGGUUCCAUAAUAUGGCCCCAUAAUAUCCUUAUCCUUAUAAUUAUGGUUCAGAAAAUAAAAAACCUCGUUAAGUUUUAGGAUUAUUUUAAGUUGAUAAAUAUUAACGAGUAUCUUCAGAGCAUUUUUUAAGCAUCUAAAGUGGUAAGAUUUUAUGAAAGUUGAGCAUUUAUUAUAUUGGAAAUUGAAGUCUUUACAUUUCUUUUAAAAAUAAUUUUUUCAUUAUAAAUGCUUAAAAGAUGCUCCAUGGACAUUCAUUAACAGGACUCUUUUAAGUUUUAGAAUGUUAGCAUUUCCCUAAGACACAUGUUAAAGAUAGAGAUAUAUUAUGGCCUCUCACGGUAGCACCCGCCUACGUAGCGAGUUUAUGGUCAAUCUAAGUCAUUUACUAAAUGUCAAAAUUGUGUAUGAAUUGAAUUAUUCAACAAUGUUACAAGCUCCAUGUAUUUGCUACUAGUUGAUGAUCACUAACUAUCCUUUCAUUUUCCAUACAACUAGACCAUUUUUUUUUAGUAUUAUUUGCUCUAUCUCUCCACUUGUUUCCACAAAUAUGAUUAAUUUUUUUCGAAAAUUUUGUUUUUUUAAAUAUGAUAUUAUGGAAAACAAAAUUCGAAAAUUUGAAUAUAUAUUAAUCUUUUCCACAAUUUUUUUAAAUAUUUCCCGAUUAUUUUUAUAAUUUUUCCAGAUUUUUUUCAUUAUUUUUUAUUUUACCAGAUUUUUUUAAUCAUUAUUAAUUUUUACAUUUUUUUUUUAAAAUUUUUCAGUAUUUUUUUUAAUCAUUAUUCGUUUUUUAAAUUUUUUUAUUUUUAUUUUAAAAAAAUCACAAAUGCCACGUGGCGUUCAUUUACACGCGUGGCAUGAAAAAAAUUAAACAAAAAAAAAUUGACACGUCACUGCCACGUAGUAGAUUCUGCCGACACAUUGAGGUGAGGGGUCAAUCCUGAAGAAUCUUCAUUUUUCAAGGGUGGAAUCUAAAAAAAAAAAAUUACAGGGGCUAAAACCAAAAGUGCAUUAUAUUACAAAGGCCAAAAACACUAUUAACACUAUAUUAUUACUUCUUCUUUUUUAUAAAAAUCCAAAUAAAAAUCAUUUGCAUUGCAGCCAAUUGGCCAAAUGCAACAUGACAAGCGCAAAAUUGCUCCAUGUUGACUUGUGAGAACUCUUGUUCUAGAUAGAGAACCUUAUAGUUUUUGUUGUCACAGAAAAUGUUAAACAACUUUUUCCAUGCAAUUUAUGCGUCUGAAUCGCGCUUGAUGAUGGUGAUGAGAAUAUAUUCUGAGGUGGUGUCAUAUAUCCAUUAUAAUACGACAACAUCAAAAAGCGGCCAAAGAUUGGGAUUGAUUUCUUUGAGAGAGGGAGUUGUUGGCUUAUUAGUGGGUGAGGGAGGAAUGAUGUGAUGAAAGACUUGAUGAACCCUUGCAUGAAUUUUAAAGAGUUCGAACCACGUAUUAUAUUGGACCCUUUUUUAUACUAAACGUAACCUUGAUGAAAUUGGUGAUAAUUGAAAAUGGUGGUAGAGGGAUGGAUAGGUGUGGAAGGAGUUGGGGUUGAAAUUGUCCUUCGAGUGGUAGUAUUUUUGGGGAUGAUUCGGCCCUGAUGGUGAAUGAAGGAGAAGAGGAACGAUGGCGCUGUAUUAGGUUUACGAGAGAAGGAUGAGUACCAAUAACUUACUGAUACCAUGUAAGAAUUAUAAUAAGAUAAUUAUUAGUCGUGUGUCAUUUGCAUUGAGAGGAUCCGUUGACACUAGGUGUCAAACUUUAGUUUGACAUCAAAUCUCAACCGUCUAUUAUGUCUAAUCUAAUGGUCUGUGAUUAUUUAUUAAAUUAACUUGUGUGAUCUUUUUCCCAUGUCUCACCUGAUCCCACGCCGGCUGUUCUGCUCCAUCUCCUUCAACUUAUCAAAGUUAAUAUGGCCAACAAUCAAAUACACACACAAAUUAAUUCUUUUAUUUUUUAAAGAAGAAGAAGCUAAAUUAGCCCACACAAAUUGGCACCGGAGAGAAUCGAUCCUGAGACCUCGAGGAGGAGCACACUCCCAGAUCCCAAGUCAAUACCACCAGACCAACCCAAAUGAUAAAUAAGGAGUUAAUUCUAAAUAAGGAGUUAUACAUAUAAUUACAUAUUGUUGACAUUAAUUGUUCUCUGUGGGGCAAGAUACUUGAGGUGUAAGUUUCAUAAGAUGCAAGUUCUUUUAAGUCUAAAUUGUCUUAUACUUACAUUAUUUUAGGUCUAAAUUUCAGAAACCAUUAUCACAAAUUUUUUGACAAUCUUAUAUCACAUACUCGUACUAUAUUUUUACUUCUCUUUUUGUUGUUUUGGUUUUUGUUUUCAUACCUAAUUUUCCUUGUAAAUAUAUAGUUGUCUCAUAAAUUAUCGUUAAAAUUGUUGUUCAAAUAACACAACUCUUAUUUCUAAUACUCAAAAUUUGUUCAAAUUAAGUUUUUAAAGAACUUCUAAUAAAAUCAGAUUAAGUUUUUUUGAACUUUCUAAAUACUUAAAUUGAAUUUUCUCGAAUAUACAUCUUGGAGAAAGAAAAAAAAUAAUUAUAGGAGGGAGAUGCAAAACUUACGUUUUCUUUCUCUAGAAACAUAUUUUGAGUUUUCAAUAUCAUCAAAAUCAUAAACUUUAUUUAUUUGCAAAUCUAGAGCACAUAUAGCACGAUUUUCUCUCAUAAUUUACAUUGAUAUAACACAUAUUAUGUUCUUACCUUGCCCAAACAUUCGGGAUUUAAUUGAUAAUGUAAAAGAUGUUUUCAAAUGUAGAAUAAGAAAGAUGGAAAACCUCCAAGCCAAAUUAUACACAAGAAUAUAAAACAAAGCAUUUACUUGGUAGAUAAUAUUUUCUUUUUAAACAGCAAAUUUUAUUCAUAAUAAGAUAACCUAACACAAGAAGUGAAGAGGCUAUAGGGGAAAGACACAAGGUAACAAUACAUAAAGACAACUAAACCAAUGCUAAAAAGCCACAUCACAAAACCACCCAAACAACCCUUAAUACAAUAUAAUUGAACCAGUUUCCAUCAACACCACAUCAAUAGACCCCUAAAUAAUUGAACAAAAACCAGCCACCUAAACUUCCUGGUACCAGUAAAUUACAAUUACUUAGUAGAUAUUGAUAUGUCUUGUUGCAUUGAUGUUUCAGAAAUGUGUGGCUGGAGGGUAAUCUUUGGGUCGUAACUUCCACAAUAUCUUCGAGCAGCGAUUGAUUUUGGGAGGUUUGAAUUUUGGCAAGGCAGCAUCAACAGCAAAAUGUUGAGGAGCAAGCAUAAAAGCAGCAAGGAAUAACACUAAUAAGGAUAAGAAAAAGGAAUUAGCCAUUUUAAGAAGUGAUAUUAUUAUUGUGUUGGUGCAUAAUACAUAGGUAGUUAACUGGCUUUAUACUAGUUAGAGACUCAAUGUGAUUUUUUGGUCAAUCUAAGUCAUUGUGUAUGAAUUCAAUCAUUCAACACGUAGGUUCCAUGCAUUUGGAAAACUAGUUGAUGAUUAAUAAUGUUCAAUAUAUUAGGCUAUGAAUUGUUUAUGAAUUGAAUUAUUGAACAAUGUUACAUGUUCCAUGUAUUUGCAACUAGUUGAUGAUUGGUAGCUACCUAUCCUUUAAUUUUCCACACAACAAGACCAUUCAGUAAUAUUGGCUCUAUAUCUCCACUUGUUUGCCCACACCGUGGUUUAGCUGAAAAAACAGUGUACUGGAGGUGGAACAUGUUUUAAUAACAUUAAUAUGUAGAUAUUAUUAUUUAUGCAUUGAACCCUGUAUUGAUAAAAAUUCCACAUAGGUUACUUUAUUUGUCAUUUAUGCUUGAAUAUAUAAAUACAAAACAGUGUUUUUUCUUAUUAAAAUAGGGGGAUUUUAGGCUAGCUUUUGUUAUUCUAAUUAUACCCUUAAAUAAAUAAAAAAUCAAAUAAUGUAAUAUUGUUGGUAUAAUUAAAAAAAUAAGAAUUUUUGUUAUAUUAUUGUUGUCAUUGAGUAAGAUAAAUAUGGUUUGUUGAGUUUGUUACAUUUGAAAGUCACAUAUAUUUAUACUUAUAAUUUUAAUCUAUAUCAAAGAGUUUAUAUAAAAUAUCGGUUGUAAUUUACACGCAAAAUUUCUAUAAAUUAUCGUAGAUAAUCUAUACACGUUAACGUAUUAAAAAGAGUAGAAAGAUGCGCAUGUGACUGCCCGUAUUUUGGUCCCUUAACUUCUCUCUCUUACACAUUUUGGUCCUUUCCAUUAGUUUAAUUCAAAAACGUUGAAUUUUCUUCAUCUUCUUCUCCUCUUUUUCAUCUUCAUAUCAUCUCCAUCAACCUUCAACAACAAGAAUCCCAAAAAAAAUUAUAGAAGAAAAUGAAGAAAACCUAACGUUUUUGAAUUAAAACUAACGGAAAUGGCCAAAAUGUGUAACAGAGAGAAGUUAUGAGACCAAAAUAAAUCGAAUUUUAAUUAAGGGAUCAAAGCGAUACUACCUAAAUAGUUAAGGGACCAAAAAUGCAAUUUAGCCUAUAAUCUAAUAUCAUCGUUAUUAAAUAUUAUUUUAUAAUCUAAUAUCAUUGUUAUUAAAUUUUAUAGCAAGUAUCAAACGAAGAACCGAGAGUUGUUGUUUGAUAUUGUUAUUUAAUCAUGUCUCGUAUAUCAAAGGAAGGAUCGAGAGGUAAAAUUUGAUAUUGGAAUAAAUGAGAUUGUAAACGAUAAGCAAAAUAUGAGAAAAAUUUUGUGACUCUUAUGACAAUAAGGUUAUAAGGUUGCACUCAAAAAGUUUUAAUGAUUAUCAACUAUGAGAAUAGGUUUAAUUACUGUUGAGAUACAUUCAUGUAAUCUGAUAGGAAACAUGAAAUAUCAAAGAACAUCUUGUCCUUAGAAACGAAUAGAGAAAUAUAUAGGGAAUGUUUAGAAUUUAACUUUAUGAUGAAAACCUCAAUCUCAUGACGCAUUUUAAUAUCUGAAUUUUAAUCUAAAAAAUCAUUGCACUUAAUCAACUUAUCUUUUUCAGCUAAUCAAGACUAAAAAUUAGAUUAGAAUUUACUUUAAGUCCAUGUGAAUCGAUAUUUUACUAGAACCGUACACUUGCAGAAACCUAUCAAAGACCCUAUUGAUGUAUAUGGAAUCGUAGUUACCUAUCAAAGCUACAAAAUUUAGAUCGGACUUGGGGGUCUUUCUAACCGUUCUUGAAGUCGUAGGGGGGUUCGUUUACCGGAUGUAGCAUCGAAGGCUUGAGUGCAGAGUUCGAAGGGGUGCACAAGUAUUCAAGGAUCCGAAGAUUCAAGAAGCACCAAAUUUAAGGGUUACUUGGAGUUUGGGGGAGUGUUUUACAUAGGAGUUGAAGAAUUAGGUUUUAAUUUCAAGGAACUCUUGUAAACACAUUGUAUUCAACAUUUGUUACAUGGUGGAUGAUCUCGGUGAAGAUGUACUUAAUCAAGAAGAGUAGAGGUAGAUCUAGAGAGGACGAGAAAGAGCAAUCUAUUAUAAAAAUAUCGGUGUGAUCUCUCUUUCCCUAUCCUCUUUACUUUUAGAUAUUGCAUGUGAUUAAUUGAAUAAUUUUUAGGAUAAUUUCUAGUGUUGAUCUAAGUUGUUUUUCAUUGAAAAUCAAUCUAAUUCAUUGAAUUAGGUUUCAUAUAAUUUGCUUAGAUCAAUUGAAUGCAAAAUCUAUUCAAUUCUUCAAUUACACAUGUAUUGUGUUUUUUAUUUGAUAACUUAGUAAUUUUGUUCAUAUAGAUUUGGUUUGAAAUUGUCUAUUGUUUUAUACAUUGUUCAAGGAAUAUUAAAGUUUGAUUGUAUAAUAACAUUUAGUAACAAGGUGAUUGCAACACUUGAAAAAUUGUUAGCUGAUAUAGUGAUAUAGUAACAAUUGAGUAAAAGUGUUAGAUCCAAUACAACAAGUACCAUCCCUAAAAAAAAAACAAAAAUACAAGUAACAAUAGAACUCAUUCGUUAUUCAUUCACGUGUUAAAAAAUUUAGCUGAAAAAACAGUGUACUGGAGGUGGAACCUGUUUUAAUAACAUUAAUAUAUAGAUAUUAUUAUAUAUGCAUUGAACCCUGUAUGAUUUAUUGAUAAAAAUUCCACAUUACGUUAUUUGUCAUUUAUGCUUGAAUAUAAAAAUACAAAACAGUGUUUUUUCUUAUUAAAUUUUUUAAUUAAUUUAUAAAGACUUUUAAUAACUUAGUGUUUACCAAUUGCACUCAUUAAUUCUUAAUUAUAGAAUAAUUGUAAACCCAUUUUAGAUCCUCCAAAAAUGAAGAAAGCUCAUUCUUAGGACAACACAAAAUGGAAGAAACUCAAGAUUGUUGGCAUAUUGGUAGACUAUUUCUGUUUGACAAAUUCAAUAAUCUAGUUUAUAGUUUAUAAGUCCGAAUGAUUAAAAAAUAUAUGUUUCAUAACUGUUUUUUCAUCACAAGUUUUAUAGUUUAUUUUAUUAGUUUGUAGGUUUUUUUUUAGACUUUAUUCCAAAUGUGGAAUAACGUUUGAGAUUAUAGUUUAUCCUUUAUAAUCUAUAUUAUAUAUAAUGAAAAUAGGGGGAUUUUAGGCUAUCUUUUUUGUUAUUCUAAUUAUAUCCUUAAAUAAAAAGAAAUCAAAUAAUGUAAUAUUGUUGGUGUAAUUAAAAAAAUAAGAAUUUUUGUUAUAUUAUUGUUGUCAUUGAGAAAGAUAAAUAAAUAUAGUUUGUUGAGUUUGUUACAUUUGAAAGUCACAUAUAUUUAUACUUAUAAUUUCAAUCUAUAUCAAAGAGUUUAUAUAAAAUAUCGGUUGUAAUUUACAAGCAGAAUUUCUAUAAAUUAUCAUAGAUAAUCUAUACACGUUCACGUAAUAAAAAAAAGCAGAAAGAUGCGCACGUAAAUGCCCGUCUUUGCACUAGUUUAUUAUAAAAAAAAUGCUAAAAUGUUCAGUUCUUUUGGUCAUACUGCACAAAUUAUUUGGUAGCUUGACAUAUAUGUUACUGAUGUAAACUUCACUCUCACUUUAAUUAUGUUACUCCACAGUCCUCUAAAAUUGUGUUUCUCUUUUUUCCCUAAAACUUCUCUUUUGGAUUAUUCAAUCCGAAUUAAGUUGUUUCUGGUUUGAAAUAUAUAAUUUGAACUGCUUCUAUAUAUGUUUUCUCUUUAUUUUGUGGCUAUUUAUUAAUUGUGUGUAUAUCUGAUUUUAACACUUUCAAAUAUUGAUCGCAUGGGCUGUGUUAGGAAUGAUAGAAUUUCCUUGACUGCAUCUUCUAGGUGAGAGCAGACGUAGAAGAAUGUACUAGAAAGGAGAGUGGUCAAGGGCAGGGGCAUGGUCCGCAAUGCUGAGACGCAGAGAGGUCGUCAGUUCCUAGACAUUAGUGGAAGUUUAGGGCGCAUCGGGGAACAUGUCAGAAAUAUUUAACUUUUUUAGUGAAUAUUUUUUUAAUUUAAAAUUUUUAAAGAGUGUCUCGAAGAUACUCGUUGGCAAGACUGAUAAGUUGUAGUUAAUGGUGUUUUUAACAUUUAAAUUCAAUAAUAUUUACGUUGUUUUAGUUUUAAUUUAGAUUCAUUUUACUGGAAAGCAUUAGUUUUUGUUUUCAUAAUCAAAAAUUUGAAGAACAGUGUACCUGGAUCAAGAGCGAGGAUAAAGAGCCAUAAAGCAACAACAUGGAUUGUUCGUGGUUCCAUCUGGGUUGUGCACUUCUUAAAAUGUCAGAAUUUCAAAAGUUGAAGUACAAGCACGACCGUGCCCCCCAACACCGUAGAAAUAAGCAUGAUUGUGCGCUUCAGAAGCACGACUUUGCACCCCUCAAAACAUGUCAAAAGUUGGAAAGGUGAUCAUGACCGUGUACCCUUGAAGCAUGACUGUGCACCCUUGAAGCACGACCGUGCGUCUUGUGCAGAGAAAAUAGUUGUUACAACCUUUUAGAAUUCUUUAGUUUAUGGCUUGUAACUCGUUUUUAAUAUAUUAUAUGAGGCUCUAGGCUAUAAAUAUACCUCACUUCUAAGGAAAAAAGAAUCUUAGAUACUUGUAAACUUACUCUAAAGUUGAAAACAUAAUUUUGCAAUGUUCUAAGUUCUUUGUUCUUUAUUUUUCAUUUCUUUACAUUUGUGUUCUUUACUCUUCUGUUCUUUACAUUUUAAGUUAUUUACUUUCAUGUCUUUUACUUUCUUGUCUUUAUAUAUUAAUCAUUCGUCUACUAUGAGAGAGAGAGAGAGAGAGAGAGAGAGAGAGAGAGAGAGAGAGAGAGAGAGAGAGAGAGAGAGAGAGAGAGAGAGAGAGAGAGAGAGAGAGAGAGAGAGAGAGAGAGAGGUGAUAUUAGUGCAGAACACAUAGCAAAAGAGAAUGAAAAAAGAAGAUCCCGAUCCUUUUCUAAAGGAGAAUCAACCAUCUAUAUAACGACAAAUUUAAACCCAUCAAGUACAAAAAAACGAUCAAGGUAAAAAAUAUAAACGGAACAUUGAACAAUUUUAUUAAAUUAUAAUAAACUUCAAAGGGUAAAAUUGGUUUUUAGAUAAACAUAUAAGGGGUUACCAAAUAGGGUUACAAGUUAUAAGCUUGUGAAGAAAACGUCUUGGUUGACUUCAAUGACUAAAGUAACUAAGACCAAAGAGUGAAUGAUUUAAUUCGGAUUUUAUCUAAGUCAUUGACCAAAAUUACAUCUUGUUACACUUUUAAGGAGAAAAAUGGUUGUUUUCUCAAUAAUGUUUUCCAAUAUUAAAUUAAUGUUGUUUUCUGCCUUAGGGAUGUUACCAAUUUGUUAUGUUGGAGUUACCUUUAGUGCUAAGAAACCUUUAGACCAAUAAAAAUAUUUUGAGUCCCUUUUAAAGUGGUAAAUACACUAAUAUAAAGUCAUUGUCAAUUGAUGUUAGGACUAUUUAUUAAUAAUGCAAUAUUUACUUGUUGUUCUUUGGUAGACACUUAAGGUGCGUUUGAUUUGUUAAAAAAUGAAGGACAGAACAACUCUAGUUGUCCAGUGUUUGAUUUGUAAAACUGUUUUAGGUACAAGACAAUUUGGAGGCAAGGGACAGGACAAAAACUCAUUUUUGUCCCUCACCAACCCACAACACAACUUUUUGUCCCACGUACAAGUUGUCUAAAAUACCAAAAUAGCAUUUUGUCCCUCAAAAAUCGUAUAAAACAAAAAAUUACUCAAUGCCAUAAAAAAUUUGUCCUGUCUUGUUCUGCCUUGUGUUGUACUGUUCUAUCUUGUACUGUUUUGUCCGGUACUUGCUGUUUUGCAAACCAAACACACCCUUAGAGGUCAUUUUUGUGGACUGUAGGUACCUAAAGCUCUAUGAACUUGGUUAUAUCAUAGAUAACGUCGUAUUGGAAAAACGGAAAUGAAAGACUCAUCUCUCACUCUACUUAGGGCUAGCCAAUUGUCAAACGCCAAUUGUCAAACUUGGUUACAAUUAAUUUUUUUUGGAAAACUUAUUUUGAAUUUUCUACAUGUCAUGAAAAAUUCAAAUUUCUGUUUUCUGAUUAGAAGAUCAAUAAACGGUUCAAUAUCAUCACAAUCUCCAAAUCAUAACUUCAUUCAUUUGCAAAUCUAGAGCACAUAUAUCACGAUUUUCUAUCAUGAUUUGCAUUGAUAUAAGUAAGUAUAACACAUAUAUUUUACUCUUAACUUAGCCAUACAUUGCGGAUUUACUUAGUAGAUAGAGUAAUGUUUUUUUUUAAACAACAAAUUUUAUUCAUAAGCUAACCCAACACAAGAAGUGAAGAGGCUAGAGGAAACACACAAGACAACAGAUACAUAAAGACAACUAAACCACCCAAACAAUCCUUAAUACAAUAGAAUAACAUCAGAAAAACCAGCCACCUAAACUUCCUAGUACCAUGAAACAAUGUCAGGUCGCGUUGAUUUUUAGGCUGGAGGGCAAUGUUUGUUUCGGAAGUUCUCGACUUUCUUCAACAAAGGGUAGUGCUUUUUGCAGAAAUCGGGUAUAUGGGGUAUAUGUACUGGUUUAUCUUUUGGGAUUAAAUUUUUGAUUUUUGGGAUUAAUGCUUCAACUGCGGGACCAAAGCUAACAGCAUCAGCAAAAUGUUGUUGAGGAGCAAGCAUAAAAGCAGCAAGGAAUAACACUAAUAAGGAUAAGAAAAAUGAAUUAGCCAUUUUAAGAAGUGAUAUAAUUAUUAGUGUUGGUGCAUAAUACAUAUGGAGUAUACUGGUUUUAUACUAGUUAGAGACUCAAUGUGAGUUUAUGGUCGAUCUAAGUCAUUUACUAAAUGUCAAAAUUGUGUAUGAAUUGAAUUAUUCAACAAUGUUACAAGUUCCAUGUAGUUGCUACUAGUUUAUGAAUUGAAUUAUUCAUUCGAUUCUCCGCGCGACUCAGGUGCAUGCCGAAACCGUUUUAAUUAUAUGAGCAAAUUAAUAAAUAAAUGGGUUGGUGCUUAUGAUGGUGCUAAGCGUUUGCAAGGAAGCGGUUGGUCGAAAGAUGAUGUUUUGGAAAAAGCCCAUGAAUUAUAUGUGAAACACCCCGUUUUCCCAACUUGAAUUUUUUUGCAUAAAUCAGAGUAAAACAACUAAACAGGAUGCUGCACUUCUUUCAAAUCUGAAUAUAGUAAAAUUACUAAUUAUCUCAAUCAUCAAAUUAAAUCUUAUUGCAGCGGAAAUUAGUUCAACGUUUAAAACAACCUUGGCACAAAGGCCUCAAUGUAAAAUCUCAUAAAAUUAUUCCAACAACAUGUUCAUAAAACUUCAUAAAAUAAUACGUAAGGAACGUAAAGCAACAACAAAAUUCUCAUCCCGUUACGUAUCAGAGCACCUAAGACACACGUGAGAGAAUCCACUCACGACCGCAACUAUUCUUGGUUACCUGCAAGUUACUCAAUUGUGAGGGCAACAUUUCCAAGCAGAAGGGGUGAGAUUUCACAUUCAAUAAUAAUAAGCAUAUAAUUCAUCAAAUUCAUUUAACAACUUAAACUUCAUCAAUUAGUAACACUAACUCUUCGCAUAAAUACUUCAUUAAUUAAUAACAUUAACUCUUCCUAUAAGACUUCAUUAAUAACUCAAUCAACUUCUAAUCAUCAUUAACUUCAUAUUCAUCACAUUAUAUACAACGUCAUACAGCACGUAAUAAUCAAAUCAUAAACAUCAUCAUAUAAAAACCUAAUCAUCACAUCAUAAACAUCAUCUUAUAACAUCAUAUAGUUCACAUCAUAAACAUCAUCAUAUAACAACAUAAACAUCACAACAUAAACAUGAAAUAAGGUUAUAAGGUUGCACUCAAAAAGUUUUAGUGAUAGUCAACUAUGAGAAUAGGUCUAAUUACUGUUGAGAUACAUUCAUGUAAUCUUAUAGGAAACAUGAAAUACCAAAGAACAUCUUGUCCUUAGAAAUGAAUAGAGAAAUAGAUAUGGAAUGUUUAGGAUUUAACUUUAUGAUGAAAACCGCAAUCUCAUGACGCAUUUUUAUAUCUAAAUUUUAAUCAAAAAAAAUAAUUGCACUUAAUCAAUUUAUUUUUUUCAGCUAAUCAAAACUAAAAAUUAGAUUAGUAUUUACUUAAAGUCCAUGUGAAUCGAUAUUUUACUAGAACCGUACACUUGCGUAAACCUAUCAAAGACCCUAUUGAUGUAUAUGGAAUCGUAGUUACCUAUCAAAGCUACAAAAAAAAUUAGAUCGGAAUUGGGGUCUUUCUGACCAUUCUUGAAGUCGAAGGGGGUUCGUUUACUGGAUGUAGCAUCGAAGGCUUGAGUGAAGAGUUCGAAGGGGUGCACGGGUAUUCAAGGAUCUGAAGAUUCAAGAAGCACCAAAUUUAAGGGUUACUUGGAGUUUGGGGGAGUGUUUUACAUAGGAGUUGAAGAAUUAGGUUUUAAUUUCAAGGAACUUUUGUAAACACAUUUGUAUUCAACUAUUAUAAAAAUAUCGGUGUUAUCUCUCUUUCCCUAUCCUCUUUACUUUUAGCUAUUGCAUGUGAUUAAUUGAAUAAUUUUUAGAAUAAUUGCUAGUGUUGAUCUAAGUUAUUUUUCAUUGAAAAUCAAUCUAAUUCAUUGAAUUAGGUUUCAUAUAAUUUGCUUAGAUCAAUUGAUUGAAAAAUCUAUUCAAUUCUUCAAUUACACAUGUAUUGUGUUUUUGAUUUGAUAACUUAGUAAUUUUGUUCAUGUAGGUUUGGUUUGAAAUUGUCUAUUGUUUUGUACAUUGUUCAAGGAAUAUUAAAGUUUGAUUGUAUAAUAAGAUUUGUAUCGUGAAUCUCUCAAUUCUAAGAUUAAGUCUCAUUGCACAUAUAUUUGACCUUUUGAUUCCUUGAUUGUCAUUGUUCGACCACGAAUCCAAUAGUCAAUUUUGUUGAGAGAGAGAGAGAGAGAGAGAGAUUGGAUGGACGGGUGAUAUUAGUGCAGAACACAGCAAAAGAGAAUCGAAAAAAGAGGAUCUUGAUCCUUUUCUAAAGGAGAAUCAACCAUCUAUAUAAUGACAAUUUUAAACCCAUCAAGUACAAAAAUAACGAGCAAGGUGAAAAUAUAAACGUAACAUUGAACUAUUUUAUUAAAUGAUAAUAAACUUCAAAGGGUAAAAUUGGUUUUUAGAUAAACAUAUAAGGGGUUACUAAAAAGGGUUACAAGUUUUUUUUUUUUUUUGAAAGAAGGGAUACAAAUUAUAAGCUUGCGAAGAAAAGACGGUUAUCAAACACAGCCUAUGCAGCUCAUGAAGCUGCCAUAAAAAUUUUAAUAGUGGGGGAUGUUUAAUGAAGAUUAGUAGUAGUGUUACGUUAUUCAUGGAGCUAUAGUUAUAAAUAAUUUUAAAGUGGGUAAUGUUUAUUGAAGAUAGGGAGAUCGAAGCGGAAAUGCUGAAAAAUGAUGAUGGAAAAAUAUAAAUCGAUAUUAUCUUUUAUUUUAGUCAGAAUUUAAAUUUGGUAUUUUUCAGUAUCCAUGUCGGCGAUUUUGACUAAUUUUGAUUAAGUAAACGUCUUAGUUGACUUCAAUGACUAAAGUAACUAAGAACAAAGAGUGAAUGAUUUAAUUCGGGUUUUAUCUAAGUCAUUGACCAAAAUUACAUCUUGUUACACUUUUAAGGAGAAAAAUGGUUGUUUUCCCAAUAAUGUUUUCCAAUAUUAAAUUAAUGUUGUUUUCUGCCUUAGGGAUGUUACCAAUUUGUUAUGUUGGAGUUACCUUUAGUGCUAAGAAACCUUUAGACCAAUAAAAAUAUUUUGAGUCCCUUUUAAAGUGGUAAAUACACUAAUAUAAAGUCAUUGUCAAUUGAUGUUAGGACUAUUUAUUAAGAAUGCAAUAUUUACUUGUUGUUCUUUGGUAGACACUUAGAGUUCAUUUUUGUGGACUGUAUGAACUUGGUUAUAUCAUAGUUAACGUCGUAUUAGACAAACGGAAAUGAAAGACUCAUCUCUCACUCUACUUAGGACUAGCCAAUUGUCAAACUUGGUUACAAUUUAUUUUGUUUGGAAAACUUAAUUUGAAUUUUCUACAUGUCAUGAAAAAUUCAAAUUUCUGUUUUCUGAUUAGAAGAUCAAUAAACGGUUCAAUAUCAUCACAAUCUCCAAAUCAUAACUUCAUUCAUUUGCAAAUCUAGAGCACAUAUAUCACGAUUUUCUAUCAUGAUUUGCAUUGAUAUAAGUAAGUAUAACACAUAUAUUUUACUCUUAACUUAGCCAUACAUUGCGGAUUUACUUAGUAGAUAGAGUAAUGUUUUUUUUUAAACAACAAAUUUUAUUCAUAAGCUAACCCAACACAAGAAGUGAAGAGGCUAGAGGAAACACACAAGACAACAGAUACAUAAAGACAACUAAACCACCCAAACAAUCCUUAAUACAAUAGAAUAACAUCAGAAAAACCAGCCACCUAAACUUCCUAGUACCAUGAAACAAUGUCAGGUCGCGUUGAUUUUUAGGCUGGAGGGCAAUGUUUGUUUCGGAAGUUCUCGACUUUCUUCAACAAAGGGUAGUGCUUUUUGCAGAAAUCGGGUAUAUGGGGUAUAUGUACUGGUUUAUCUUUUGGGAUUAAAUUUUUGAUUUUUGGGAUUAAUGCUUCAACUGCGGGACCAAAGCUAACAGCAUCAGCAAAAUGUUGUUGAGGAGCAAGCAUAAAAGCAGCAAGGAAUAACACUAAUAAGGAUAAGAAAAAUGAAUUAGCCAUUUUAAGAAGUGAUAUAAUUAUUAGUGUUGGUGCAUAAUACAUAUGGAGUAUACUGGUUUUAUACUAGUUAGAGACUCAAUGUGAGUUUAUGGUCAAUCUAAGUCAUGUACUAAAUGUCAAAAUUGUGUAUGAAUUGAAUUAUUCAACAAUGUUACAUGUUCCUUCCAUGUAUUUGCUACUAGUUGAUGAUCAGUCCCUACCUAUCCUUUAAUUUUCCACACAACAAGACCAUUCAGUAAUAUUGGCUCUAUCUCUCCACUUGUUUGCCCACCAUGGUUUAGCUGAAAAAACAGUGCAACUUGUUUCAAUAACAUUAAUAUAUAUAGAUAUUACUAUUUAUAUAUGCAUUGAACCCUGUAUGAUUUAUUUAUUUAUAAAAAUUCCAAAUAGGUUACUUUAUUUGUCAUUUAUGCUUGAAUAUGAAAAUACAAAACAGUGUUUUUUCUCAUUAAAAUUUUUACUAUAAAGAUUUUUAAUAACUUAGUGUUUACCAAUUGCACUUACUAAUUCUUAAUUAUAGAAUGAUGAUUAAAAAUUGUAUGUUUCAUAACUGUUUUUCAUCACAAGUUUAUAGUUCACUUCUCAGACGUUAUUCCAAAUAACGUUUGAGAUUAUAGGUUAUCAUUUUAAUUUCAUGUUUACCUUUAUUAUUUUGUUUAAGAUUUAUUUUUAUCCUUUUUAAUAUAUACUAUUUAUAAAGAAAAUAUAGGGAUUUUGGGCUGACUUUUUUGUUAUUCCAAUUAUACCUUUAAAUAAAAAAAAAUCAAAUAAUGUGAUAUGGUUGGUGUUAAUAAAAAGAUAAGAAUUUUUGUUAUAUUAUUGUUGUCAUUGAGAAUCAUAAAUAUUGUUUGUUGAGUUUGUUACAUUUGAAAGUCACAUAUCAUACUUUUAAUUUUUGUCUAUAUCAAAAAAUUUAUAUAAAAUAUCGUUUGUAAUUUACACGCAGAAUUUCAAUAAAUUAUCGUAAAUAAUUUAUACACAUUAACGUAAUAAAAAGAGCAGAAAGAUGAACAUGUGAAUGCUCGUCUUUUCGCUAGUUUAUUAUAAAGAAUAUGCUAAAUGUUUGGUUCUUUUGUCAUACUACACAAAUUAUUUGGUAGCUUUAUAUAUAUGUUACUAAUGUUAAUUUCACUCUCACUUUAAUUAUGUUACUCCAGAGUCCCUCUGAAAUAAUGUUUCUCUUUUUGCCCUAAAACUUCUCUCUUGCCAUCCAAAAUUUAAAACUCCCAUAUUAUAUGAUUCAUGAAGAUUUUUUGCUUCAAAACAUUGAUCAGGUCUUUUCAAACACGGACAACAAGGUAGGGUAUCAUUCCUUCCCUUUAGUGUUAUUUGAAUCUUUUUUUUUUUUCUUCUGUAAACUAAAACCUUAUAGAUUAUAUAAUAAUCUGAAUCAAGUUGUUCCUGGUUUGGAUUAUAUAAUUUGACAUGCUUCUAUAUAUAUGUUGUUUUGUUAUUUUGUGGAUAUUUUUUUAUUUUUUUUAGACAAAAGAGGAAUUAAAUUAAAAUAGAAAAGGAGGUAUAAGAUUGGGGGCAAUGACCUGACCAGUAAACCACAAAAUCAAAAUACAACAAUUUCAGUACAAAGUGGUAUACAACGAACACAACCCUAAACAAUCACUACUACGGACAAUUCAGCGAACCCACGUAUGAGCGCCAAACCGAAUUGCAAAAAAAACGUAGAGUGAGUAUUCAGAACUUCUAAAUAGGCGUAUGGAUCGACUGCCAACACAAAAACGAUCCAAGAUCAAGCAGCUCCCAUCAAAUAUCAGCAAGCAAUAAACGCCCUUUCGGGCCAACCAUUCCAGUCGUAGUUCAGUUCGAGGGAUGAACAAACGACAUAAAUGUAAAGCAGUCCACUGACAACGCAUAAAGCAACCGUAGCAGAUAAAGUCCUGCAGGUACGACAUCAACAACUAUCGUCAACCAGAGCGUCUACGCACUUAGCCCUUUCGUGCAUAUCAGGCGAAACAAGUCUUGUUGAAUCCAGAUCGAGGGAUGGUAUCCAACCAAACAUCGCACAAAUGAACAGAACCAUAACCAAAUCUUAAAUCCAGACAAACCAAAUUCAAAAUUUCAACUAAACCGGAUAGCCAGAAUAAGACCACCACCAAUCUUCAUCUUCCCGAAACAACAUAAAACACCAUUCGAUUCUUCAUGGUCUUCUUCUUUCAAACUAGUGCGUCUUCCUGGAACCGCCAUUGAUGUGAAAUUCGACUAUCUUUGCCGCCGCUUCAACUUCAAACUACUAUGCCAUUGACGCUUUUAAUUUAGUGGGAGAAAAAAGAAAAAGAUCGAAAUGAAAGUAGAAGAAGAAGGUUUGGUGUGUGUUUUUGAAGAAGAAGACGAAGAAAAAAAAAAGUUUGUGUUGUUACGUGUGAGAGGGUGUGGUGGUAAGCUUGUAUAUGAGAGAGAAAUAUAUGUCUAGAGUUUUGAUGUCUAAAGAAGACCACAAUUAAUGUGACAUUGGAAAAUGAAAGGGUGGAUGCAUGGGUACCAAAAUCUCAUAAUUAUUUGUUGGAAGAUGCAUAAGGAAGAGAGAGUUAUCCCCAAUAAAUGAGAGUGGGGAAUAGUUGAAAGAAGUGGCUUUUACAAAGUAGAAUGCUGAUUAGAAUUAACAAUUAAGUGUAGAUGAUCAACGGUUGAUGUUGAAUGGCGCCUAAAUGAUGAUCAGCAUCCAAUGGCUUGCAAAAUUGGAGAGAAAAAUGAGGGGGGAAAAUUAGGGUUAAGGAUAGCUUCGGGGGAUAAGCUUUAGUAAGUAAGAUUGUCUUAUAUACUUACAUUAUUUUAGGUCUAAAUUUCAGAAACCAUUAUUUGACAAUUUUUUUGACAAUUUUAUCUCACAUACUCACAUUAUAUUUUUACUUCUCUUUUUGUUGUUUUGGUUUUUAUUUUCAUACCUAAUUUUCCUUGUAAAUCUAUAGUUGUCUCAUAAAUUAUCGUUAAAAUUGUUGUUCAAAUAACACAACUCUUAUUUCUAAUACUCAAAAUUUGUUCAAAUUAAGUUUUUAAAGAACUUCUAAUAAAGUCAGAUUAAAGUUUUUUUGAACUUUUUAAAUACUUAAAUUGAAUUUUCUCCAAUAUACAUAUUAGAGAAAGAAAAAAAAUAAUGAUAGGAGGGAGAUGCAAAACUUAUGUUUUCUUUCUCUAGAAACAUAUUUUGAGUUUUCAAUAUCAUCAAAAUCUCAAAAUCAUAAACUUUAUUUAUUUGCAAAUCUAGAGCACAUAUAGCGCGAUUUUCUCUCAUAAUUUACAUUGAUAUAACACAUAUUAUGUUCUUACCUUGCCCAAACAUUCGGGAUUUAAUUGAUGAUGUAAAAGACGUUUUUAAAUGUAGAAUAAGAAAGAUGGAAAACCUCCAAGCCAAAUUAUACACAAGAUAUACAAAUUAUACACAAAAAUUUCAAAUUUCAAUUUUCUCGAGAGUAUUCUUAAAUGAUCAAUCAAUGAUUCAAUAUAAUCACAAUCUCAAAAUCAUAAACUUUAUUUAUUUUCAAAUCUAGAGCACAUAUAGCGGGAGGAGAUUGUCUCGUGUGAUUUUUCUCUCAUGUGUAAUCCAGACCCUCCAUUAAAUAUGUGAGAUAAUGUGUUUGUAAUAUAAAAUGACCGAACGCAAGAUAAAUUGUUUUUUUCUAAACAAUAAAUUUUAUUCAUAAGCAUUCCCGUGAGCUUAGCUCAGUUGGUACGGAUAUUGCAUUUUAUAUGCAGGGGCUGAGGUUCGAACCCCAGACACCCCACUUCUCCACAAUUAAAUUGUGUGAGCUCUAACCACUAGACUACUUGACCAAGAAAAAAAGAAAUAUUCAUAAACUAACCCAACACAACACAAGAAGUGAAGAGGCUAUAGAGGAAAGACACAGGGUAACAAUACAUAAAGACAACUAAACCAAGGCUAAAAAGCCACAACACAUGUAAAUGGCUUAUCACAGCAGAAAACAAGGUAUAUCAAUAUCAUGUGUGACUACAAAACCGCCCAAACAACCCUUAAUACAAUAGAAUCACAGCAGAAAACACCCUUAGUAGAUAUUGAUAUGCCUUGCCGCGUUGAUGUUUUAGAAAUGUGCAGGUGGAGGGCAAUUACUGGGUCGGUUAUGCCCGUUUUUCCUCGAGCAGGGAUUUAAUGAGGGCUUUUGGGAUGGUUUAGGACGAGGGAAAGGUACUGGUUUGGAUGGAGUGAAAUGGGGUAAAUGCUUUAUGAUUCCUGGAGGGAGAUGUAUGGCAUCAACAGCAAAAUGUUGAGGAACAAACAUAAGAGCAGCAAGGAAUAACACUAAUAAGGAUAAGAAAAAGGAUUUAGCCAUUUUAAGAAGUGAUAUAAUUAUUAGUGUUGGUGCAUAAUACAUAGGGAGUUAAACUGGUUUUAUACUAGUUAGAGACUCAAUGUGAGUCUAUCGUCAAUCAAAGUUAAAAUUGUGCACGAAUUGAAUUAUUCAACAAUGUUACAAGUUCCAUGUAUUUGAUACUAGCUGAUGAUCAUUUAGUAUUAUUGGCUCUAUCUCUCCACUUGUUUGCGCACAUGGUUUACCUGAAAAAACAGUGUACUGGAGGUGCAACUUGUUUUAAUAGCAUUUUUUGUUGAGCACAUCAUGAGACAACACCGACAUCCUAACUAGAUUAGUAUUUCAGGACGCCUCCGUCCUAUGCCUGCCAAUCUCUAAAUUUUAUUAAAAAAGGGUAAAAAUAUAUACAAGGAGAGUGAGGACUAGGCCAAAAUCCUCAAUGAAAAAACCAAAGGAAACAAUAAAAAAUAAAGCCUACUGAAAUCUAUAAUUGGGUGAGCCAAUUCUGUCUCUAUAGAAGUCGAAAUGCAACUCUGCACGAAGCGUGUCUAACCAAACAGAACCCUGAAUAUCAUGACCCUCGGACAUUCCAAUAUAACAUCAUUGGGAAGAUGGAGGAAGACCACUCUUUCCAAGGAUUUGAUAAUGCGGCUUUCCGAAGACUUACUUCUUCAUAUUUAACGCGGCUUUUUUGAGAGAACUUGCGUAAAUCCUUUCUUUACGGCCCGUUGAUCGUAUUCUUUGAUUCUGGCCCAUAAAUCCAAGUCAUUCUGUACGUUUUUGCUAGUGUUUUAAUAACAUUAAUAUAUAGAUAUUACUAUUUAUAUAUGCAUUGAACCUGUAUGAUUUAUUUAUAAAAAUUCCAAAUAAAUUACUUUAUUUGUCAUUUAUGCUUGAACAUAAAAAUACAAAACAUUGUUUUUUCUCAUUAAAAAAUUUAAUUAAUUUAUAAAGCUUUUUAAUAAAUUAGUGUUUACCAAAUUGCACUCAUUAAUUCUUAAUUAUUGAAUGAUUGUAAACUCAUUUUAGAACCUCCAAAAAUGAAGAAAGCUCAUUCUUAGGACAACACAAAAUGGAAAACACUCAAGAUUGUUGGCAUAUUGGUAGACUAUUUCUAUCUGACAAAUUCAAUAAGCUAGUUUAUAGUUUAUAAGUCCGAAUGAUUAAAAAAUGUAUGUUUCAUAACCGUUUUUUCAUCACAAGUUUUAUAGUUUAUUUUAUUAGUUUGUAGCUUAUUUUUUAGACGUUAUUUUAAAUAACGUUUGAGAUUAUAGUUUAUCAUUUUUAUUUGUGUUUACCUUUAUUAUUCUGUUUAAGAUUUAUUUUUAUCCUUCAUAAUCUAUACUACUACCGUUUAUUCUGUUUGACAUUAUAGUUUAUUUUUAUUUGUAGUAUAUAUAAAGAAAAUAGGGGGAUGUUAGGCUAGCUUUUUUGUUACUCUAAUUAUACCCUAAAAUAAAUAAAAAGUCAAAUAAUAUUAUAUUGUUGGUGUUAUUAAAAAGAUAAGAAUUUUUGUUAUAUUAUUGUUGUCAUUGAGAAAGAUAAAUAUGGUUUAUUGAGUUUGUUACAUUUGAAAGUCACAUAUAUUUAUACUUGUAAUUUUAAUCUAUAUCAAAGAGUUUUUAUAAAAUAUAGGUUGUAAUUUACACGCAGAAUUUCUAUAAAUUAUCGUAGAUAAUCUAUACACGUUAACGUAGUAAAAAGAGAAGAAAGAUGCGCACGUGAGUGCCCGUCUUUUCACUAGUUUAUUAUAAAGAAAAUGUUAAAAUGUUCAAUUAUUUUGGUCAUACUGCACGAAUUAUUUGGUAGCCUGGCAUAUAUGUUACUAAUGUUAAUUUCACUCUCACUUUAAUUAUGUUACUCCACAGUCCUCUAAAAUCGUGUUUCUCUUUUUGCCCUAAAACUUCUCUUUUAUGUUACUCCACAAUCCUCUAAAAUCGUGUUUCUCUUUUUGCCCUAAAACUUCUCUUUUUGAUUAUUCAAUCCGAAUCAAGUUGAUCUGGUUUGGAUUAUAUAAUUUGAACUGCUUUUAUAUAUGUUGUUUCUUUAUUUUGUGGAUAUUUGUUAAUUGUUUGUACAUCUGAUUUUAACACUUUCAAAUAUUGACCGCAUGGGCUGUGUUAGGAACGAUAGAAUUUCCUUGACUGCAUCUUCUAGGUGAGAGCGUAUGUAGAAGAAUGUAGUGGAAAGGAGAGUGGUCAAGGGCAUGGGCAUGGGCCGCAAUGCUGAGACGCAGAGAGGUCGUCAGUUCCUAGACAUUAGUGGACAGUUACGGCGCAUCGAGGAACAUGUCAGAAGUAUUUAACUUUUUUAGUGAAGAUUUUUUUAAUUUAGAAUUUUUAAAGAGUGUCUCGAAAACACUCAUUAGCAAGACUGAUAAGUUGUAGUUUAUGGUGUUUUUAUCAUUUAAAUUCAAUAAUAUGUACGUUGUUUUAGUUUUAAUUUAGAUUCAUUUUACUGGAAAACAUUAGUUUUUAUUUUCAUAAUCAAAAUUAUGAAGAACAUUAUACCUAGAUUAAGAGCGAGGAAAAAGAGCCAUGAAAGAGCCAUAAAGCAGCAGCACGGAUGGUCCGUGGUUCCAUCUAGGUCGUGGAGUUCUUAAAAUGUCAAAAUUUCAAAAGUUGAAGUACAAGCACAACCGUGUGCCCCAACACGGUAGAAACAAGCAUGAUUGUGCACUUCAGAAGCACGACUUUUGCACCCCUCAAAACACAACAAAAUGUCAAAAGUUGGAAAGGUGAGCAUGACCGUGCACCCUUGAAGCACGACCGUGAGUCUUGUGCAGAGAAAAAUAGUUGUUACAACCUCUUAAAGUUCUUUGGUUCAUGGCUUGUAACUUGUUUUUAAUAUAUUUGUCUGAGGCUCUAGGCUAUAAAUAUACCUCACUUCUAAGGAAAAAAGAAUCUUAGAUACUUGUAAACUUACUCUAAAGUUGAAAGCAUAAUUUUGCAAUGUUUUAAGUUCUUUGUUCUUUAUUUUUCAUUUCUUUACAUUUGUAUUCUUUACUUUUCUGUUCUUUACAUUUUCAGUAUUUUAUCUUCAUGUCUUUAUAUUUUAAUCACAUGUCUAUUAUGAUCAUAUGUUAGUAAACAAACUAUUCUAGUCUUGGAAUUGUUAGAAUAAUCAAUCUAAUGAUUGAAUGUUAAUCAACCCAAGUCUAGACUCUAUUUUAUAAGAAUCCAUUUUAUAAUCUAAUAUCAUCGUUACUAAAUUUUAUUUUAUAAUCUAAUAUCAUUGUUAUGAAAUUUUAUAACAAGUAUCAAACAAAGAACUGAGAGUUGAUGUUUGAUAUUGUUAUUUAAUCAUGUCUAAGAUAUCAAACGAAGGACCGAGAGGUGAAAUUUGAUAUUGGAAUAAAUGAGAUUGUAAGAGAUAAGCAAAAUAUGAAAAUAAUUUUAUGACUCUUAGGACAAUAAGGUUAUAAGGUUGCACUCGAAAAGUUUCAAUGAUAAUCAACUAUGAGAAUAGGUUUAAUUACUGUUGAGAUACAUACAUUCAUGUAAUCUGAUAGGAAACUGAUAGAAUAUGUGUUACUUAGUCAUGUAAUUUGUAUUAUUAAAAGAAUAUUAAUACGUAUUCAUUGUGUUAAUUAGUCAUUCAUUUUGUAUUCAUUAGUCAUUAAGAGAAUGAUAACAAUUUGAUGUAUAUAAUGCACUCAGAUUAUCAAUGAAAAUCAUUCAGCUAUUUUCCUAUAUGGUAUCAGCUAGGUUUUAGAUCCUCUCCUACUUCUUCUAGCCGCCCACCACCACCUUUUCUUCCCUAUACUUCCGUUAUAAACCGCCAUCCAUGGCUACCUCAACAACAGCUGAAUCAACCACUCUCUCAACAAAUUCCUCUCCCGUGACAGACACAUUUGUCUCAACGGCACCAUCAUCAAAAAUUCACUCGGCCUUCACUAUCAACAACGUGAAGUCUAUCAUUCCCGUAACCUUGCACAAUGGCAGAAUGCUUUUCAUUGAUAAUCUGAGUGCAUUAUAUACAUCAAUUUGUUAUCAUUCUCUUAAUGACUAAUGAAUACAAAAUGAAUGACUAAUUAAUAUAAAUGAAUACCUAUUAAUAUUCUUUUAAUAAUACAAAUUACAUGACUAAGUAACACAUAUUCUAUCACUCCCACGCAGUUGAUGCGGGAGGUUGUCGGACGCUGAGUCUGUCCCUAAAAUCUUGAAAUAAAACCAAUGGGAGACCCUUAGUGAAGAUAUCUACAAUUUGAUAGCGUGAUGGAACAUGUAGGACACGGAUGUCUCCACGAGCUACUUUUUCACAAACAAAAUGAAUGUCCAUUUCGAUAUGUUUUGUGCGUUGGUGCUGGACGGGAUUUCGGAUAGAUAUAUGGCACUAACAUCCUUAUUAUCUAAUCCUAAACUACAAUGCACACAACAAUUGCAAAACCCUAAUCCUUGGUUUUGAGCGGGAAAAUUGUGAUUUAACCACAUUUAAUGGCAUUUUUGAAUUUCAAAUCAUGUACCCUUUUGAAAUGUGUGCAUAUGUGCCUAAUUAAUGCAGAUUUUGAAAUUCAAAUAUCCCACCACUUGGAAUUGUGCUCGCUUCUUUCCAAGACAUGCAGUUACCCACUUCUCAAUGCAAAAGCAUCUGAACCAAACAAACCUAUUUCCUUGCAUUUUGCUCUUUCUCCCUCUCUCUCACUCCCCUCUCACGCCCAUUUUUCUCUAAUCAGAAAAGGUCAACGAUUUUCAGUCCCUCUUCUCUUCUCUCUCACUCCAGUUUUCUCUCAAAAAAAAGCCUCUUCUCUUCUCCCACGUUAUUUUUUUCUUCAUUUUCUAACAUUCUUCUUCAAUUCUCCAUCUCUCUCUCUCAUUGUUUCUCGCGUAGCUCUUCGUGUCUUAGUUUGGGUGUUCUCUUCAUCGCCGGUCAGCCUCACCAAGGCAAUAAGCAUCUUCAAGUUUUAUUGAAAGAGAAUGCUUCUAUGCAACAAAAUUUUCAAGACCUUCGAUCCCUCGGUAUGCGUUUUCAGUUUCGUUACGUUUUGAUUGAUUUUGAUUUCGCGAUUAGGAUUUUGGUAUCACCGGUGUUGUUUUGAUUGAUUUUUCCGAUUUGAUAGGAAAGGAGCUUGAAGAAGGUGGAGUUCUCAGUGAAUCGGCACUGUCGCGGAAGGUUUUUCUUUUCAUCAACGAUCUUCUCUCUCAUUCUCUCUCAUUCGCUGCUCUUCUACUAAGCUUUGAUUGUGGAACGUAUGAAGGCAGAGUGACAUCUGAUAACGAUCAGAAUCAAGGCUACUAAGCUUAGAUUAUGGCUUCUAGGGGCAGAGGAAAAUGAGGAAGAAAAAGCACCAUCAAUUACAAUCUGCUCUACAUGUAUAAUGUUUUCCGUAUUCGAAUUAUUUCAAAUUGCAAGUAAUUUAAAUUGAGUUUUAAGGUAGUUUUCUUUGACUGCAAGUAUAAGGGGCUUAUUUCACAAGGUUAUACUUAGAUGUGUAUAUUCACUAUUGAAGCUUAUUUUGAGUUUCCGUGAUGACUUACUUUAUCGAAAUCACGGUGUGCCGCCGCGAUUUAGAAAAAGUUAUAGGGUGCAGCUUUUACAAUAACUAAAAAUUAACUAAUGAUUUGCCUGAAGUUUCUAAUUCUUUUUAUUGGUCCGAUUACAGUCCCUCUCUGAUGAUUUUCUACAACUAUCAGAUUUGAUUGAAUCAACUAAGGUUAAUUAUUUUGUCCAUAAUUUUUGCAAGAUAACUCUUCAGUCUACUGUUUUAGGUCAAAAUUAAUUUAUUUUGUGUAUAGAACAAUAGUUAUGCAGACCACCCAUUUCAAUAGGAUAAUGUCAAAAUUAAUUUAUGCAGACCAUCCAUUUCAAUAAUCAAUAAUGUUUUUUUGGGUUUGUUUGUAUAAUAGCAGGUUUUUUAAGAUUUGUUUUGUGUAUAAUGUGUCAUUUCACUCCACGUAGCCAAUCUUAGUGUUUGUUCAUGAAUAGAAAGUGGCUCAUAAAACAAUUUAAGGGUUCGAUUGUUCUAUAUUAUCUUUGCUCAUCUCUCUUAGUGUUUGAAAUUAGUUCAAAGAGUGGUCUAAAAAUUCUGCUAACAUAUGAGGAUGACGCUUGCAUUGAUAGUUUUUUUUUUUAAAAAAAAAAAAAAAAUCGCAUUGUAUACACAUAAAUUCCUUGAAAUAUAAUUGUAUACACAACGUACACUACAUACGAGGUCAACUUUACGUCGCAAUAUCCAAGGUGACCUCCAGGAAUGGGUUGAAGAUUUUAAUGAAUGAUGAUAAUAGUAAUAGCAUGAAUAGCACUUCAAAUGUAGUUAUAAGGAGAUUUUCUGCAAUCUACCGAUUUAAGGUCUUUUUUAAUGUAUUUUUUUUAGAAACAAUUUAUUUUGUACCGCAAGCAUAUUUAAUUUCAAUACAUUUUGUAAUAGCAUAUUUUAUUUUGUACAGCACGGGUGGAUGGUCUAGUUAUCACAAUAAACUAAACUAGCCUUGUGAAUGGGGAAAUGUAAUUCCAAAAGCAAGUUUCAUAACCAACAAGAUUCAGAAACCGCAUUGGAACCCCUCGAUAUUCUGCUUCAGCACUUGAACGAGAUAAAGUAGGUUGUCGUUUGGAAGACCAUGAGAGUAAGUUGUCACCAAGAGAUACACAGCAACCAGAGGUGGAUCGUCAGGUAUCUAGGCAACUUCCCCAAUCUGCAUUGUGUAAACAAUCAAUGAUGAUGUAGAAGAAGAGUAAAGUUGCAGUCCAUACUCGCGUGUGCCCUGAAUAUAUCUCAGGAUGCGUCAAAGGGUGUGCAUGUGAUCAUCCAUUGGAUUGUGCAUAAAUAAACAUAUUUGUUGCACUGCAUAAGAAAUGCCAGGCCUUGUGAAGGUGAGGUAUUGUAGGGCGCCAGCAAGGCUGCGAUAUAGAGAAAGGUCUUCAAAUGGGGUGCUAGUUUUGGCUCUCAUCUUUGGUUUAGUAUCAACCGUUGUAGGACAUGGUUUACAAGAAGCCAUUCCAGCACGAUCAAUAAUUUCUUCUGCAUAUUUUUUCUGAGACAAAAAUAAGCCACCAGGAUGACGUGUGACAGCAAUACCCAAAAAAUAAUUCAACAAUCCCAAAUCUUUCAUAGCAAACUCGGAACUAAGGAGUGAUAUGAUAGACUUUCAAAGGUCGUCAGAGGAAGAGGAAGCAGUAAGAAUGAUAUCAUCUACAUACAGUAUGAGGUAGGCCAAAAGGUGGGUUUUUCCUAUAUGGUAUCAGAAAAACUCUGCUUCCCGGAACUCUGGCAGAGGUGGUCGAAAUGGUACUGGUAAUUAUUGAUCUAUAACAAUAACCAUAUACGAAGACUACCUCAAAAAAAAAAAAAAAAAAAACGUACGAAGGAGAAUCAACCAUCUGGAUAAUACAUAUCCUUAUUUUAUUUAUUUGAAUUUGAAUGGCAACCACCAAAGCCACAUAUAGAAAGAAUAUUUUCCUACCAAUCGUACAUGAUGCCCAUAACAAAAGAUAGGUUCCAUAAUAUGGCCCCAUAAUAUCCUUAUCCUUAUAAUUAUGGUUCAGAAAAUAAAAAACCUCGUUAAGUUUUAGGAUUAUUUUAAGUUGAUAAAUAUUAACGAGUAUCUUCAGAGCAUUUUUCAAACAUCUAAAGUGGUAAGAUUUUAUGAAAGUUGAGCAUUUAUUAUAUUGGAAAUUGAAGUCUUUACAUUUCUUUUAAAAAUAAUUUUUUCAUUAUAAAUGCUUAAAAGGUGCUCCAUGGACAUUCAUUAACAGGACUCUUUUAAAUUUUAGAAUGUUAGCAUUUCCCUAAAACACAUGUUAAAGAUAGAGAUAUAUUAUGGCCUCUCACGGUAGCACCCGCCUACGUAGCGAGUUUAUGGUCAAUCUAAGUCAUUUACUAAAUGUCAAAAUUAUGUAUGAAUUGAAUUAUUCAACAAUGUUACAAGCUCCAUGUAUUUGCUACUAGUUGAUGAUCACUAACUAUCCUUUCAUUUUCCAUACAACUAGACCAUUUUUUUUUAGUAUUAUUUGCUCUAUCUCUCCACUUGUUUCCACAAAUAUGAUUAAUUUUUUUCGAAAAUUUUGUUUUUUUAAAUAUGAUAUUAUGGAAAACAAAAUUCGAAAAUUUGAAUAUAUAUUAAUCUUUUCCACAAUUUUUUUAAAUAUUUCCCGAUUAUUUUUAUAAUUUUUCCAGAUUUUUUUCAUUAUUUUUUAUUUUACCAGAUUUUUUUAAUCAUUAUUAAUUUUUACAUUUUUUUUUUAAAUUUUUCAGUAUUUUUUUUAAUCAUUAUUCGUUUUUUAAAUUUUUUUAUUUUUAUUUUAAAAAAAUCACAAAUGCCACGUGGCGUUCAUUUACACGCGUGGCAUGAAAAAAAUUAAACAAAAAAAAAUUGACACGUCACUGCCACGUAGUAGAUUCUGCCGACACAUUGAGGUGAGGGGUCAAUCCUGAAGAAUCUUCAUUUUUCAAGGGUGGAAUCUAAAAAAAAAAAAUUACAGGGGCUAAAACCAAAAGUGCAUUAUAUUACAAAGGCCAAAAACACUAUUAACACUAUAUUAUUACUUCUUCUUUUUUAUAAAAAUCCAAAUAAAAAUCAUUUGCAUUGCAGCCAAUUGGCCAAAUGCAACAUGACAAGCGCAAAAUUGCUCCAUGUUGACUUGUGAGAACUCUUGUUCUAGAUAGAGAACCUUAUAGUUUUUGUUGUCACAGAAAAUGUUAAACAACUUUUUCCAUGCAAUUUAUGCGUCUGAAUCGCGCUUGAUGAUGGUGAUGAGAAUAUAUUCUGAGGUGGUGUCAUAUAUCCAUUAUAAUACGACAACAUCAAAAAGCGGCCAAAGAUUGGGAUUGAUUUCUUUGAGAGAGGGAGUUGUUGGCUUAUUAGUGGGUGAGGGAGGAAUGAUGUGAUGAAAGACUUGAUGAACCCUUGCAUGAAUUUUAAAGAGUUCGAACCACGUAUUAUAUUGGACCCUUUUUUAUACUAAACGUAACCUUGAUGAAAUUGGUGAUAAUUGAAAAUGGUGGUAGAGGGAUGGAUAGGUGUGGAAGGAGUUGGGGUUGAAAUUGUCCUUCGAGUGGUAGUAUUUUUGGGGAUGAUUCGGCCCUGAUGGUGAAUGAAGGAGAAGAGGAACGAUGGCGCUGUAUUAGGUUUACGAGAGAAGGAUGAGUACCAACAACUUACUGAUACCAUGUAAGAAUUAUAAUAAGAUAAUUAUUAGUCGUGUGUCAUUUGCAUUGAGAGGAUCCGUUGACACUAGGUGUCAAACUUUAGUUUGACAUCAAAUCUCAACCGUCUAUUAUGUCUAAUCUAAUGGUCUGUGAUUAUUUAUUAAAUUAACUUGUGUGAUCUUUUUCCCAUGUCUCACCUGAUCCCACGCCGGCUGUUCUGCUCCAUCUCCUUCAACUUAUCAAAGUUAAUAUGGCCAACAAUCAAAUACACACACAAAUUAAUUCUUUUUUUUUUUUAAAGAAGAAGAAGCUAAAUUAGCCCACACAAAUUGGCACCGGAGAGAAUCGAUCCUGAGACCUCGAGGAGGAGCACACUCCCAGAUCCCAAGUCAAUACCACCAGACCAACCCAAAUGAUAAAUAAGGAGUUAAUUCUAAAUAAGGAGUUAUACAUAUAAUUACAUAUUGUUGACAUUAAUUGUUCUCUGUGGGGCAAGAUACUUGAGGUGUAAGUUUCAUAAGAUGCAAGUUCUUUUAAGUCUAAAUUGUCUUAUACUUACAUUAUUUUAGGUCUAAAUUUCAGAAACCAUUAUCACAAAUUUUUUGACAAUCUUAUCUCACAUACUCGUACUAUAUUUUUACUUCUCUUUUUGUUGUUUUGGUUUUUGUUUUCAUACCUAAUUUUCCUUGUAAAUCUAUAGUUGUCUCAUAAAUUAUCGUUAAAAUUGUUGUUCAAAUAACACAACUCCUAUUUCUAAUACUCAAAAUUUGUUCAAAUUAAGUUUUUAAAGAACUUCUAAUAAAAUCAGAUUAAGUUUUUUUGAACUUUCUAAAUACUUAAAUUGAAUUUUCUCGAAUAUACAUCUUGGAGAAAGAAAAAAAAUAAUUAUAGGAGGGAGAUGCAAAACUUACGUUUUCUUUCACUAGAAACAUAUUUUGAGUUUUCAAUAUCAUCAAAAUCAUAAACUUUAUUUAUUUGCAAAUCUAGAGCACAUAUAGCACGAUUUUCUCUCAUAAUUUACAUUGAUAUAACACAUAUUAUGUUCUUACCUUGCCCAAACAUUCGGGAUUUAAUUGAUAAUGUAAAAGAUGUUUUCAAAUGUAGAAUAAGAAAGAUGGAAAACCUCCAAGCCAAAUUAUACACAAGAAUAUAAAACAAAGCAUUUACUUGGUAGAUAAUAUUUUCUUUUUAAACAGCAAAUUUUAUUCAUAAUAAGAUAACCUAACACAAGAAGUGAAGAGGCUAUAGGGGAAAGACACAAGGUAACAAUACAUAAAGACAACUAAACCAAUGCUAAAAAUCCACAUCACAAAACCACCCAAACAACCCUUAAUACAAUAUAAUCACAGCAGAAAAACCUUAACCAAAUCAAGCAAACACACCCAGACCUUCCCCUAACACAAAAUCAAACCAGUUUCCAUCAACACCACAUCAAUAGACCCCUUAAAUAAUUGAACAAAAACCAGCCACCUAAACUUCCUGGUACCAGUAAAUUACAAUUACUUAGUAGAUAUUGAUAUGUCUUGUUGCAUUGAUGUUUCAGAAAUGUGUGGCUGGAGGGCAAUCUUUGGGUCGUAACUUCCACAAUAUCUUCGAGCAGCGAUUGAUUUUGGGAGUUUUGAAUUUUGGGAAGGCAGCAUCAACAGCAAAAUGUUGAGGAGCAAGCAUAAAAGCAGCAAGGAAUAACACUAAUAAGGAUAAGAAAAAGGAAUUAGCCAUUUUAAGAAGUGAUAUUAUUAUUGUGUUGGUGCAUAAUACAUAUGGAGUUAACUGGCUUUAUACUAGUUAGAGACUCAAUGUGAGUUUAUGGUCAAUCUAAGUCAUUGUGUAUGAAUUCAAUCAUUCAACACGUAGGUUCCAUGCAUUUGGAAAACUAGUUGAUGAUUAAAAAUGUUCAAUAUAUUAGGCUAUGAAUUGUUUAUGAAUUGAAUUGUUG